rnacentral:rRNA from 1 species
UACAGGGGGUGCAAACGUUGCUCGGAAUCAUUGGGCGUAAAGCGCACGUAGGCGGUCUGUUAUGUCGGAUGUGAAAGCCCUCGGCUCAACUGAGGAAGUGCAUCCGAAACUGGCAGGCUAGAGUACUAAAGAGGGUCGCAGAAUUCCCGGUGUAGAGGUGAAAUUCGUAGAUAUCGGGAGGAACACCGGUGGCGAAGGCGGCGACCUGGGUAGAUACUGACGCUGAGGUGCGAAAGCGUGGGGAGCAAACGGG